UACGGAGGAGGCAAGCGUUAUCCGGAAUUAUUGGGCGUAAAGCGUCCGUAGGUGGGUGAGGAAGUCUGCUGUCAAAGCGUGAGGCUUAACCUCAUAAGGGCAGUGGAAACUCUUCGUCUAGAGUGCGACAGGGGCAAGGGGAAUUCCUAGUGUAGCGGUGAAAUGCGUAGAGAUUAGGAAGAACACCGGUGGCGAAAGCGCCUUGUUGGGUCUGCACUGACACUGAGGGACGAAAGCUAGGGGAGCGAAAGGG
rnacentral:rRNA from 1 species